rnacentral:rRNA from 1 species
UACUUUCGGGUAACUGAGACCGGCGUACGGGUGCGUAACGCGUAUACAAUCUGCCUUUCACUGGGGGAUAGCCCGAAGAAAUUUGGAUUAAUACCCCAUAGUAUAGUAAUACGGCAUCGUGAUGCUAUUAAAGCUUAGGUGGUGAAAGAUGAGUAUGCGUUCUAUUAGCUAGUUGGAGAGGUAACGGCUCCCCAAGGCGAUGAUAGAUAGGGGUUCUGAGAGGGAUGUCCCCCACACUGGUACUGGGAUACGGACCAGACUCCUACGGGAGGCAGCAGUGAGGAAUAUUGGACAAUGGUCGGAAGACUGAUCCAGCCAUGCCGCGUGCAGGAUGAAGGUCUUAUGGAUUGUAAACUGCUUUUGUAAGGGAAGAAUAAGGGCUACGCGUAGUUUGAUGACGGUACCUUACGAAUAAGCAUCGGCUAACUCCGUGCCAGCAGCCGCGGUAAUACGGAGGAUGCGAGCGUUAUCCGGAAUCAUUGGGUUUAAAGGGUCUGUAGGCGGGCUUGUAAGUCAGAGGUGAAAGCGCUUAGCUCAACUAAGCAACUGCCUUUGAAACUGUUGGUCUUGGAUGGUUGUGAAGUAGUUGGAAUGUGUAGUGUAGCGGUGAAAUGCUUAGAUAUUACACAGAACACCGAUAGCGAAGGCAUAUUACUAACAAUUAAUUGACGCUGAUGGACGAAAGCGUGGGGAGCGAACAGGAUUAGAUACCCUGGUAGUCCACGCUGUAAACGAUGGAUACUAGCUGUUUGGUUUAAGGAUUGAGUGGCU